GUGAUAAUCAAAAAUGCAAACGAGUUCUGUUCAUGAAUACGCAAUUAGUAUAAUCAAACAGGGCAUGACAGCAACCUCCCGAGGUGCCCCCACCCAUCUUGCAUGAAACCGAAAUAACAUUGAUCCAAGGCACGAAAUACAUAAUCUAUCACCGAGGGGACAUUUCACUUGCAUCUCUGCAUCAAACUUGAAGUUAACGCAAAAAGGCUAGUUGUACCGAUCCGUGCUGCCUGCAUAUUUGAUCAUACAAAGACAGCUGGCACGCGCCACCUUGAGGCUCAUCUCGAGUGCUAAACAAGCGAGCAACGCACCAAAUAUCCGCUCUGCAUAACUCCAAACACUUUCACUCUAAAUAAACUCAAACAACUGCAUUCCAGAACUGUGCGUUUUUAGCACCAAACGACUUCCAGCUAAGCCCGAACAAUAUCAUAGAAGCGGUGGUACACAAUGCAGACGUUAGGAAGCUUGCCGCUAACCUGCUAACGUAGGUAGUCUUGCGCGAAAAAGUUAAACAGCCUUUCCAUCUCUAGCGUUUAAUUGCUAGUUUACAAGCCUGUAAUGAGCGAAAAUGGAUUAAAAUUUAAGAGUUAGCUGCAUUUUUGGAGACAAUAAGCAAGUACUUUUAGCGCCUAACGAAAUAAUUGUGAAUGCUCUAAUGCCCCUGGAUAAUGGGAGGUCAUUGUUUUCGACUCUUAGUUUGGACUCUGGCACGCGCUAGGAACUCGUAUGAUUCAAUGAUCCAGGGCCGUAAAUAAGCCCCCCUUUAUGAUGUAGAUUAAGGUUCGAGUCCCUUAUUGACCCCAAUGUCAAUGUUUACUCCCGCAGUCUUGGUAAAGCCAUUGGCUAUUGAUGAUUGACGGAUUGCAGUGGAAGCCACUUCGGUGGCAGCUGGCGCCAGAUCACAAAUAAAUCAAAAUUGCGAAAGCGAGCACAAAAGAACCCCCCGAGUCCGCACUAUUGUAAACUACAAAACGAAAUUUAGUUAGCUGUUAAAAUAUUGGCGAUAAUAAAUAUCUCAUUAUUGUUGUUUGCUAAAUGGGUGAUAUUUCGCACCGAUGAUUUGAUUGAUAAAUCAGUUUUCACUCGAACUUCAUACCGGGGUUUCCUAUUUAUAGGCGAAUAAAUCCUUGUUAAUAAAAA